AAUUAGACCACUUAAUUUUAAUUUGUUUUAGAGAAGAUUACCAAUUUAAUAAAAUGUCUUUUUAUUAUUCCUUUUACAAAAGCAGAAAAUAAAAAAUCUUUUUAUGAUGCUAGUACAAGUUUGCACCGGCGAAGUCAGUAUGCUUAUGACAGACUUAUCCAAUGGAACUUUCACAAUUCUCGCUGUUUCAGACACAGAAAUGGCAUUACUGCUCUCUGAUCCGAGACAGACCUCGCUCUCCCUUGUUUCUCUUUUGUUAUAAUGGUAUUGGUACAGUAACAUUACGAUCUUUCGUUAAAAGACUGAUAAAUGUGUUUGGCGGAAAAGGGGAGGUGAUCAGCUCAAGCUCGAACAGUAGCUUAUGCAUAACUGGGUAUUCCCUCAAAAUUACCACGCAUACCAGAAAAGUCAUGCCUUGGUCGAAGCUUUGUGCAGUCAUGGCUGUUAAUUGCUGUAUCUCUGUCAAAGUAUCUAACUAUUACCCUUAAUAUAUUUGUGGUGGUGUGUUUAAUUUGCGAAAUUUUGUCUCUUGUUGUUGGUUUGGUGAAGGCCCUUUAGCAGUUGGAUACAAUGUAAACUGCUAUAUUUGUUGUGUGCACUGGCUGGCCUGUACAAGAGAACAAACAUAUUCUGCUGAAAUAUAUAAAUGUAUAUUAGUUUUCA